GACGGAAGGUGCAAGCGUUGCUCGGAAUCACUGGGCGUAAAGGGUGCGUAGGCGGCUUGGUAGGUCUGGUGUGAAAGCCCCGGGCUCAGCCCGGGAAGGGCACUAGAAACUGCCAAGCUAGAGUGCCGGAGGGGAGAGUGGAAUUCCUGGUGUAGCGGUGAAAUGCGCAGAUAUCAGGAAGAACACCCGUGGCGAAGGCGGUUCUCUGGGACGGUACUGACGCUGAGACGCGAAAGCGUGGGGAGCGAACAGG
rnacentral:rRNA from 1 species